GUGGGGAAUCUUGCGCAAUGGGCGAAAGCCUGACGCAGCCAUGCCGCGUGAAUGAUGAAGGUCUUAGGAUUGUAAAAUUCUUUCACCGGGGACGAUAAUGACGGUACCCGGAGAAGAAGCCCCGGCUAACUUUGUGCCAGCAGCCGCGGUAAUACGAAGGGGGCUAGCGUUGCUCGGAAUUACUGGGCGUAAAGGGCGCGUAGGCGGACAGUUUAGUCAGAGGUGAAAGCCCAGGGCUCAACCUUGGAACUGCCUUUGAUACUGGGUGUCUUGAGUAUGAGAGAGGGGUGUGGAACUCCGAGUGUAGAGGUGAAAUUCGUAGAUAUUCGGAAGAACACCAGUGGCGAAGGCGACACACUGGCUCAUUACUGACGCUGAGGCGCGAAAGCGUGGGGAGCAAACAGGAUUAGAUACCCUGGUAGUCC
rnacentral:rRNA from 1 species